rnacentral:rRNA from 1 species
UACAGAGGUCCCAAGCGUUGUUCGGAUUCAUUGGGCGUAAAGGGUGCGUAGGUGGCGCCAUAAGUCAGGUGUGAAAUUUCGGAGCUUAACUCCGAAACUGCAUUUGAUACUGUGGUGCUUGAGGACUGGAGAGGAGACUGGAAUUUACGGUGUAGCAGUGAAAUGCGUAGAGGUCGUAAGGAAGACCAGUGGCGAAGGCGGGUCUCUGGACAGUUCCUGACACUGAGGCACGAAGGCCAGGGGAGCAAACGGG